rnacentral:rRNA from 1 species
CAGUAGCCGCGGGAAUACGGAGGGUGCAAGCGUUAAUCGGAAUUACUGGGCGUAAAGCGCACGCAGGCGGUCUGUCAAGUCAGAUGUGAAAUCCCCGGGCUUAACCUGGGAACUGCAUUUGAAACUGGCAGGCUAGAGUCUUGUAGAGGGGGGUAGAAUUCCAGGUGUAGCGGUGAAAUGCGUAGAGAUCUGGAGGAAUACCGGUGGCGAAGGCGACCCCCUGGACAAAGACUGACGCUCAGGUGCGAAAGCGUGGGGAGCAAACAGGAUUAGAUACCCGCGUAGUCCCUGUCUCUUAUAC